rnacentral:rRNA from 1 species
GAUGAACGCUAGCGGGAGGCUUAACACAUGCAAGUCGAGGGGUAACAUGAGGUAGCAAUACUUUGAUGACGACCGGCGCACGGGUGAGUAACACGUAUGCAACCUACCCUGUACAGGGGGAUAGCCCGGAGAAAUUCGGAUUAAUACCCCAUAAAGGUAUUUAGAGGCAUCUUUAAAUAUUUAAAGUUUCGACGGUACGGGAUGGGCAUGCGCAACAUUAGCUAGUUGGUAGGGUAACGGCCUACCAAGGCUACGAUGUUUAGGGGACCUGAGAGGGUGAUCCCCCACCAGGGUACUGAGACACGGACCAGACUCCUACGGGGGGCAGCAGGGAGGAAUAUUGGUCAAUGGGCGUAAGCCUGGACCAGCCAUCCCGCGUGAAGGAAGAAGGCGCUAUGCGUUGUAAACUUCUUUUCCGGGGGAAGAAAACCCGCUACGAGUAGCGGCUUGCCGGUACCCUGGGAAUAAGCAUCGGCUAACUCCGUGCCAGCCGCCGCGGUAACAC